rnacentral:rRNA from 1 species
UGGUGGGGUAAUGGCCUACCAAGGCGACGACGGGUAGCCGGCCUGAGAGGGCGACCGGCCACACUGGGACUGAGACACGGCCCAGACUCCUACGGGAGGCAGCAGUGGGGAAUAUUGCACAAUGGGCGAAAGCCUGAUGCAGCGACGCCGCGUGGGGGAUGACGGCCUUCGGGUUGUAAACCUCUUUCAGUUGGGACGAAGCCCUUCGGGGUGACGGUACCCUCAGAAGAAGCACCGGCUAACUACGUGCCAGCAGCCGCGGUAAUACGUAGGGUGCAAGCGUUGUCCGGAAUUAUUGGGCGUAAAGAGCUCGUAGGUGGUUUGUCGCGUCUGCUGUGAAAUCCUUCCGCUCAACGGGAGGCUUGCAGUGGGUACGGGCAGACUAGAGUGCAGUAGAGGAGUCUGGAAUUCCUGGUGUAGCGGUGGAGUGCGCAGAUAUCAGGAGGAACACCGGUGGCGAAGGCGGGACUCUGGGCUGUUACUGACGCUGAGGAGCGAAAGCAUGGGGAGCGAACAGGAUUAGAUACCCUGGUAGUCCAUGCCGUAAACGUUGGGCACUAGGUGUGGGGUCCAUUCCACGGAUUCCGUGCCGCAGCUAACGCAUUAAGUGCCCCGCCUGGGGAGUACGGAAU